UACAGAGGUCUCAAGCGUUGUUCGGAUUCAUUGGGCGUAAAGGGUGCGUAGGUGGCGGGGUAAGUCAGGUGUGAAAUCUCGGGGCUCAACCCCGAAACUGCACUUGAUACUGCCUUGCCCGAGUACUGGAGAGGAGAUUGGAAUUUACGGUGUAGCAGUGAAAUGCGUAGAUAUCGUAAGGAAGACCAGUGGCGAAGGCGAAUCUCUGGACAGUUACUGACACUGAGGCACGAAGGCCAGGGGAGCAAACGGG
rnacentral:rRNA from 1 species